rnacentral:rRNA from 1 species
UUGUCUUUUAAAUAAAGACUAGUAUGAACGGCUAAAUGAGGACAGAUCUGUCUCUUACAAUUGACCAGUGAAACUGAUCUUCAAGUCCAAAAGCUUGAAUGAAUACAUAAGACGAGAAGACCCUGUGGAGCUUCAAACCCAUACUAUAAUUAACCAAAUAGCACCGGUUUUAAGUUGGGGCGACUUCGGAAUACAACCUAACUUCCGAGCACGGGGCCAUCACACCCUCACCAAGACCGACAGGUCAAAGAAAAAUCCGACCCAGUCACACUGACCAACGAACCAAGUUACCCCAGGGAUAACAGCGCUAUCUUCUUCAAGAGUCCCUAUCGACAAGAAGGUUUACGACCUCGAUGUUGGAUCAGGACACCCAAAUGGUGCAGCAACUAUUAAAGGUUCGUUUGUUCAACGAUU